UACGUAGGGCGCAAGCGUUAUCCGGAAUUAUUGGGCGUAAAGAGCUCGUAGGCGGUUUGUCGCGUCUGCCGUGAAAGUCCGGGGCUCAACUCCGGAUCUGCGGUGGGUACGGGCAGACUAGAGUGAUGUAGGGGAGACUGGAAUUACCGGUGUAGCGGUGAAAUGCGUAGAGAUCGGUAGGAACACCAGUGGCGAAGGCGGUCUCUUGGAGCACUCUUGACGCUGAGGCGCGAAAGCUGGGGGAGCGAACGGG
rnacentral:rRNA from 1 species